rnacentral:sRNA from 1 species
CUGCCUCCGUGUAUAAUUACGCAGAGCAGACCCUGUCCCAGCUGCCACAAGUCCAGAAUACAGCCAUGGCCAGUCACCUCACCUCCACCUCUCUCGAUCCCUACGAUAGACACCUGUUGCCGACCUCAGGAGCUGCUGCCACAGCUGCUGCUGCAGCAGCAGCCGCUGCUGCUGUUACUGCAGCUUCCACUUCAUAUUACGGGCGGGAUCGGAGCCCCCUGCGUCGCGCUACAGCCCCAGUCCCCACUGUUGGAGAGGGCUACGGUUACGGGCAUGAGAGUGAGUUGUCCCAAGCUUCAGCAGCCGCGCGGAAUUCUCUGUACGACAUGGCCCGGUAUGAGCGGGAGCAGUAUGCGGAUCGGGCGCGGUACUCAGCCUUUUAAAGCUUGAGGUCCCAGUUACUAAGAAGACUACCAAAAUGGCAUCAUCUUAAUCUUGAAGCGUAUUUCUGACAUUCCUGAACCGUUCAGCCCUUAUGAGUUUUAUAGAACUUAUUUGAUGGUGGGAUGUGUGUGGGCUGAAAUUCCGAGCUGCGGUUGUGCAUGAGAAUACACCCUUCGUGGUACCCCAUCUCCGGGACGUUCUCGGCUCUGUGCGUUCAGUCCCUCAGGAACCGUGGACCUUAAUUUACCUUGCUAAGUUCAGACCUUCUCUUCCUUUCCUUUCCUCUCCUGCCCAUUUUCCUGUUUUUCUGUCCUUCAAUACUUCUGUAGCUUCCCAUUCAUGUUCUGUUCUCCCAGCAGGCCUCAUUGUGUGCAGAAACUGUGGUGGGGGCUGUGCUGUCUCCUCCCUGCCUCCUGCCUCCUGCGGCUGUUGGAUUUGGGAAUGACCUUGGUGAGAGUCUCACUGCUCCAGGGUCUCUUUUUGGUCCAAAGGCUAGACCUAUAGAGUUGGAUCACUUUUUUUCUUUCCGGUGAAAUAAAUGGUUUUUCAACUUA